rnacentral:ncRNA from 1 species
UGACAUUCUCAGGGCGGGGUGAAAUUCCCCACCGGCGGUAAGUUUUUUUGCGGAGUCACAUCUGUGUGUCUCGCAAAUCAAACACACUUAGUUUGAAUUGCGAGGCCGUUGAGCCGCACAAAAAACAAAGCCCGCGAGCGGCCUCUUUGUGGGGUGACAGCAGAUCCGGUGUAACUCCGGAGCCGACGGUUAAAGUCCGGAUGGAAGAGAAUGGGU